rfam:Hassallia byssoidea VB512170 scaffold_15, whole genome shotgun sequence.
GGACAGAUGGCUGAGCGGUAAAGCAGCGGUCUUGAAAACCGAAGUACCAUUCGUGGUCGGUGGUUCAAAUCCACCUCUGUCCG